rnacentral:tRNA from 2 species
UAGCUCAGCCGGUAGAGCAUCUCCCUUUUAAGGAGGGGGCCGUUGGUUCGAAUCCAAC